GACACGACUCUCGGCAACGGAUAUCUCGGCUCUCGCAUCGAUGAAGAACGUAGCGAAAUGCGAUACCUGGUGUGAAUUGCAGAAUCCCGCGAACCAUCGAGUCUUUGAACGCAAGUUGUGCCCGAGGCCACCCGGCCGAGGGCACGCCUGCCUGGGCGUCACGC
rnacentral:rRNA from 1 species